AUACGUUUGACGGUGUAUUUAUUAAACACUGGAAUGAUACAGAGAUGACCAGCAUGGCCCCUGCACAAGGAAUAACACACAUUUGUGAAGCAUUUCAUACUAAA
rnacentral:snRNA from 1 species